rnacentral:rRNA from 1 species
GACGAACGCUGGCGGCGUGCUUAAUACAUGCAAGUCGAACGGAAAGGCCCUGCUCUUGUGGGGCGCUCGAUUGGCGAACGGGUGAGUAACACGUGUGUAACCUGCCCUUGUCUUUGGGAUAACUUCAGGAAACUCGGGCUCAUAUCCGAUAGGAGCUCCUGCUGCAUGGUGGGGGUUAGAAAGUUUCGGCGGUUGGGGCUGGACUCGAGGCUUAUCAGCUUGUUGGUGGGGUAGUGGCUUACCAAGGCUUUGAAGGGUAGCCGGCCUGAGAGGGUGACCGGGCACAUUGGGACUGAGAUAGGGCGCAGAAGCCUACGGGAGGCAACAGUGGGAAAUAUUGCGGAACGGGCGGAAGCCUGAUGCAGCAGCGCCGCGUGCGGGAUGACGGCCUUCGGGGUGUAAACCGCUUUCGAAGGUAACGAAGAGUGAGUGACGGUAAUGGGUAAGAAAGCAACGGCUAACUACGUG